rnacentral:rRNA from 1 species
AGUGUACGCUGGCGGUAGGCCUAACACAUGCAAGUCGAACGGCAGCACAGUAAGAGCUUGCUCUUACGGGUGGCGAGUGGCGGACGGGUGAGGAAUACAUCGGAAUCUACUUUUUCGUGGGGGAUAACGUAGGGAAACUUACGCUAAUACCGCAUACGACCUACGGGUGAAAGCAGGGGAUCUUCGGACCUUGCGCGAUUGAAUGAGCCGAUGUCGGAUUAGCUAGUUGGCGGGGUAAAGGCCCACCAAGGCGACGAUCCGUAGCUGGUCUGAGAGGAUGAUCAGCCACACUGGAACUGAGACACGGUCCAGACUCCUACGGGAGGCAGCAGUGGGGAAUAUUGGACAAAGGGCGCAAGCCUGAUCCAGCCAUACCGCGUGGGUGAAGAAGGCCUUCGGGUUGUAAAGCCCUUUUGUUGGGAAAGAAAAGCAGCAGGUUAAUACCCCGCUGUUCUGACGGUACCCAAAGAAUAAGCACCGGCUAACUUCGUG